CUAAAUACAUACCCACAGAGAGACGAAAUCCAGAAGGUUCGUCAGGUAACCCAGGAAAAGCCUCGUUCUGAGGAAGAUGCUCCUAAGAGAACAAGUGAAAUAGAGACAAAGAUGUUCUUCAGAGAGCAGGCAGCCUCUAGGCAAGAACGGCACUGGAGGAGCUCAGAGUUCUACAUCUUGUUCUGAAGGCAAACAGGAGAAGACCGUCUCCCAGGCAGCUAGGAGAAAGGUCUCUUUUUUGGGGGUGGGGGGGUGGGGAGACAGGGGACUAUAAUUUCGUUUAUUUAUUUAUUUAUUUAUUUAUUUAUUUAUUCAUUCAUUCAUUCAUUCAUUCAUUCAUUCAUUUUACUUUUAAAACCCACCCUCACAGAGACACACUUCCUCCAACAAGGCCACACCUCCUAAUAGCGCCACUCCCUGGGCCAAGCAUAUUCAAAUCACCACACUCCUGUAAUCCCAGCAGGUGAGGGAAGGAGGAUUAGGAUUAUCUUUGUUACAUACUAUCACAAGUUCAAGGGCAGUGGGGGCUCCUUGAGACCCUGUCUCAAAAAACCCAAACCGAUCCCCUCCCCCCCAAAAAUGCUGAAGAGAAUGAAUGGGAAAGGAAGGUGAGGAGAGAACUAAUGGGGACUCACCAACACCUGGGGAGCAAUGGCAACAUAAAAGGUGGGACUGGGAAGCAUGAAUGCUGUGCUCACUUCAUCGAUGCUAUGGGCUGAAUUGUGCCCCCCCCACCCCUUUCAUACAUUGAAGCCCUUGCCCCCGUAUACCAGAAUGUAACCCUGCACCCGUUCCUUAACUCAUUAUAGCCCAAGAUAACCCACUAGUGCCUAGAAUAUAAGUGGAAAAUAGAUUAGUACACCCACCUGCUAAAACUUACAUAAUCUCAUGGCUAUCUGGGAGUUGAGAUGGGCUGUCGCUCUGUGACAUCAGAAACGAGGAUCACACCACACAUUGCUGGCUCAGGAGAUAACCCACAUUGAAGAAGUACUUUUGUCUUCUAAGUUGUGAGUAUUGAUUUUGAGCUACUGUAAAGUCAAAAAAAAAAAAAAAAAGUAAGCGGGGCCCUGAAAGUAGGAGACCAUCUGUCAUCUCCUUUCAAGAGAAGUUUAAAUGACAACUAGGCCAUUAGCUUAGGUGGGUCCUAACUGUCUGGUGGCAUUUUUAGAGGCAGAAGAAAUGGCAACAUAUAAUGCUAACAGCUGUGGGUGCACAUGGAAGAAAGACAGACCAGAAGAGGAUGUAGCCAUAAGAGGAAUGCUCACAAGUACAGGGGAGAAGCUGCAGGAGAAAUGAGAGUUACCCUCAGUGUUGGCUGUCUAGUUACCAAGGCUUAUUCGGUCUUGGAGUUUACACCAGAAGCAUGUCCUCCAUGGGUAGCAAUGGGUGGGGUGGUUGUUGGCCAGGGGAAAUCAAUUAUAACAGUAUUUAAAAUAUUGGGCGAGGGAGGUGUAGGAGAAGCAUGUGAGUGGUGGGCUGGCUAGUUUUGUGUCAACUUGACAUAAGCUAGAAUCAUCCGAAAGGAGGAAACCUCAAUUGAGAAAAUGCCUCCAUAAAAUCCGGCUGUAGGACAUUUUAAUUAGUUAUUGAUGGAGAGGGCCCAGGUCAUUGUGGGUGGUCUCAUGUGGGUGGUCUUAGGUUCUGUAAGAAAGCAGGCUGAGUAAGCCGGCUGAGUAAGCCAUGGAGAGCAAGCCAGUAAGCAGCAUUCCUUUGUGGUCUCUGCAUCCAGGACCCUGCCCUGACCUGACCGCCUUCAAUGAUGAUCAGCGAUAUGGAAGUGUAAGCUGAAUAAAAGCUUCCCUCACUGUCUUCCCUCACUGUCAUGAUGUUUCAUCGCAGCGAUAGUUACCCUGACUAAAGCAGUGCCCAAGAAACUCCGACAUACCCUCCUCCAGGAAGCUUCCUAAGCCACCAUUGAAGACUCACCUUCUGUCAACUCAUCUUUCCUAAAUGGACUUGAGAUGCAAAUGAAAGCACAAAGUUAGUGUGUAAAGAAGGAUGGGGUGACUGGAAGACGCUAACUUACGGAGAGCUGAGUUUUCAGCUGGAAGCCGAAGUGGAAAUGCCUAACGAGAACUGUACCGAGCUGACUCGCACAUGCGCACUUGCUCUGUAAUAAAGGGUUGAUAAU